ensembl:lncRNA
GUAAGCUUCCUAGGUGACCCUUCUGUAAUGUAAUUAUCUGUCACAUUCUGAGUUUUGGAUGACCUUCCCAGUCUGGCUUAGAAGAGAGAGUUAGUGGGGUCCUCAGAAGCCGUCUUGCUCCACGUUUGUCUUCUUGGCUGCUCUGUCGGUGAAGGAGAGCUGCACUCCUGCUCCGAGAGUUCUCUGAGGAGACAUUGGGUUUUCCUGGCAGGCAGAGCCUCAGGCUACUCAGCGGAAUGUCUUUGGUUCUGUAGCUUCAGGAGGAGCCAGGAGGCUGUGCUUCCAGGCCAAGGGAAACACGGCUUCAGACUCAAGACCACGACUUGGCGGAGACUCCGGGGCCCGCUGAAUUUAGGAGAGGGCUCUUUCGUACCCCUUACUUACCCGAACCACUCUUUCCCACUGAAAGUAAGAGGAGGAUGGAAUGACCCAAGAAAUCUGGUUUAUUCACUAGCACACAACAAUUCCUGGGUGAAAUGGAUUCCAGUCUCCUUUUGGAACUAGAGGAAAGGGAGUGCCUCCUUCCCUAGCCGAGAGGGAAGGAGAAGGAAGCCAGAGUCAAAAUCAGACAUCUCGAGUCUCAGCAGCAGUCUUGGUCUGUGCUUAGACAAAUAAUCUUGAGGAGACCCAAAUCCCCUGUUCAUUGGGAAAACAGACAGUGCCAGAGUGAAACAGAAUUAAAUUGUUUCUCUUUCAUGGCAGCUGAAGUGUAAAAACCAUUCUAUUCCGACCUUGUGGUCGGAAUAUCCUGACACCUCAUAAAUUAUCCUAAGGGCUCGGGGCCUGGGAGGCUGGGGAAGGCUGCAAGGCCACACCACAGUCAGCCCUGUGAGAGGCGGCAGCAGCGCCUCGCUCCUGCCCUCUCUCAGACGCAGGCACCGACGUCAGGAUGCGGAGGAAUGCAGUUUCCUCAAAGUCAGUUUUUCUGAGUUACGGCCAGUAUUUUCCCCUCUUUUCAUGUUUUUAGAGUUUGCACGGCUACAGGGCCUACUUUCAUGACUAGUUUAUUAAGGAGGCAGGAGAAGCACAGUGAUAGCUCCCAAGUCUGACAGAACCUGUGAGGUGGUUUUGUCUUAAGGGGAAAAAAGAGAAGGAGGGGAAGGAAAAGGAAGAGGGAAGAGGAAAUGUGAAUGAGAGAAAGAAAUGGUCUGUCCAUUCAGAUGUGGCCUUCCCCUCUCCGCUCCACACCCAUCUGGUCGCAAAGGAGCAAAGAAGCCUCCUCAGCAGAAGAGAAUGCUUGUCCUUCCUGCCUUCCUGCCUCCCAGGGAGCUUCCUUCAGCUCCUGCAUCAUCUGUGCCCUCCACACAGUAGGUGCUCUGUAAACGUUUGCUGAGUGGAAAGAUCCACAGAUUGGUCCCGAGAGGGAAACAGAUUUAUUUUGGGAAACUCUAAGUAUGUAAAGUCACUUGGAGCAAACAAUAUUCCUGCAGCUUGAAUCACCAUAAGGUUUAAAGAAUCUGGGUAUUUGUGGGUGUGUCUGGAUGUAUUGUGUGUGGGAGCAUGGGUGGGUGGUCUGGACGGGUGGGUAAUAAGUGACAGGAGGGCCCUUGAACAUAUAAAGGGCUCCAUAACUACUGUAAAAAUAAAACUGGGAACGGCAUGCCCAGACCUCCAGCCAUGCAGUGACCAGACCUGACCUUGGCAGAGAUGAAUAAUAUUGUAGAGAUGGAUUCAAG